rnacentral:rRNA from 1 species
AGAGUUUGAUCCUGGCUCAGGAUGAACGCUAACGGGAGGCUUAACACAUGCAAGUCGAGGGGUAACAGGGUCUUCGGAUCGCUGACGACCGGCGCACGGGUGAGUAACGCGUAUGCAACCUGCCUUAUACAGGGGAAUAGCCCAGAGAAAUUUGGAUUAAUACCCCAUAGUACUUAGAGAUCGCAUGAUUUUUAAGUUAAAGAUUUAUCGGUAUAAGAUGGGCAUGCGUGACAUUAGAUUGUUGGUGAGGUAACGGCUCACCAAGUCUGCGAUGUCUAGGGGUUCUGAGAGGAUGAUCCCCCACACUGGUACUGAGACACGGACCAGACUCCUACGGGAGGCAGCAGUGAGGAAUAUUGGUCAAUGGGCGCAAGCCUGAACUAGCCAUCCCGCGUGAAGGAUGACUGCCCUAUGGGUUGUAAACUUCUUUUAUGCACCAAGAAAAAAUACUACGUGUAGUAUAUUGACGGUAGUGCAUGAAUAAGCAUCGGCUAACUCCGUGCCAGCAGCCGCGGUAAUACGGAGGAUGCGAGCGUUAUCCGGAUUCAUUGGGUUUAAAGGGUACGUAGGCGGCCCCAUAAGUCAGUGGUGGAAUCCUGCAGCUUAACUGUAGAACUGCCAUUGAUACUGUUGGGCUUGAAUGUAGUUGAGGUAGGCGGAAUGUGUUGUGUAGCGGUGAAAUGCUUAGAUAUAACACAGAACACCGAUUGCGAAGGCAGCUUACUAGACUAUGAUUGACGCUGAGGUACGAAAGCGUGGGUAGCGAACAGGAUUAGAUACCCUGGUAGUCCACGCAGUAAACGAUGUUCACUCGCUGUAUGCGAUACACAGUAUGCGGCCAAGCGAAAGCAUUAAGUGAACCACCUGGGGAGUACGUCGGCAACGGUGAAACUCAAAGGAAUUGACGGGGGCCCGCACAAGCGGAGGAACAUGUGGUUUAAUUCGAUGAUACGCGAGGAACCUUACCUGGGCUUAAAUGUAGAUUGCAUGAUGUGGAAACACACUUUCCUUCGGGACUAUCUACAAGGUGCUGCAUGGUUGUCGUCAGCUCGUGCCGUGAGGUGUCGGGUUAAGUCCCAUAACGAGCGCAACCCUUAUCGUUAGUUGCCAUCAGGUAAUGCUGGGGACUCUAGCGAGACUGCCACCGUAAGGUGAGAGGAAGGUGGGGAUGACGUCAAAUCAGCACGGCCCUUAUGUCCAGGGCUACACACGUGUUACAAUGGCAAGUACAAAGGGCAGCUACACUGCGAAGUGAUGCUAAUCUCUAAAGCUUGUCUCAGUUCGGAUCGGAGUCUGCAACUCGACUCCGUGGAGUUGGAUUCGCUGGUAAUCGGAUAUCAGCCAUGAUCCGGUGAAUACGUUCCCGGGCCUUGUACACACCGCCCGUCAAACCAUGGAAGCUGGGGGUGCCUGAAGUCUGUCACCGCAAGGAGCGGCCUAGGGUAAAACCGGUAACUGGGGUUAAGUCGGAACAAGGUA